AAAAGGGGAAGGCACAGGGAAAAAGCCAAAGGUGACUCAUGGAUUUCUAACCUGGAACAUGGAACAACUGAAUCUGGUCUCUAACAGGUGCCAUCUAACUACUCAAAGUAUCUAUGUAUGAUAACAUUCAUAAGAUUUUCUCAAAAAAGGAACUAAAAUUUGAUGAUGACUCUCCUCCAUCCAUGUGAAUGGAAACAAUGCCUGGGAAUAGCAGAGGAACAAGGGAAAACUCUGAAUUACUAAUCCAUGGAGCAGCCAUAACAGCUCUGAUAUGCUUCUCAUACAACCUAGCUAUCCUGUCACUCCACAUGACAGAAAAAAUGUGAAGAGCAAAAUAGGCCUAAUGAAGAAAAGGAUGAUUCCUUCUUUGUGCCUCAGUCUGUCUAUCUGCAAAAUGGAAUUAAGGAUGUCAUCAUCAGGG
ensembl:lncRNA